GCCCGGCAGGCCGGGGGCUCAGCAAGGCUGCCGUGUCGGAGGAGCUCAAGUGGUGGCACGAGCGUGCACGCCUCCGGAGCGCCCGCCCCCACUCACUGGACCGCCAAGGAGCUUUCCGGGUCAGGAGCCUGCCCCUCGGGAGAGAGGGCUUCGGGCGAGCCCUGGGACCCCGGGCACAGGUGCCCACAGUGUGUGUGCUGCGGAGAUCGCCUGACGGGGCCCCUGUGCAAGUCUUUGUACCUGAAAAAGGAGAGAUCAUCAGCCAGAGUUUGACCUACUGGACUUAAGGCCUUGCCUGUCUGACUGACAGCCUCUAUCUCCUUAUACAAGACAAGUGGCAGAGGACGAGUGAAGCAGAGUGGGCCACCUUGGGAGUUCUCCAACGCUCUGUGCUCUGGUUCUAAGAACUUCCCUGGGGAACUGCCCCGGCCCUCCUGUCCCACUAUUGCUGGAGGCUGGACAUGAUGGAGUCUCGCUCUGUCGCCCAGGCUGGAAUGCAGUAGCAAGAUUUCGGCUCACUGCAACCCCCGUCUCCUGGGUUCAAGCGAAUCUCCUGCCUCAGCCUUCCGAGUAGCUGGGAUUACAGGUCAGGGGAUCUGCUUCAAUGAGAAAGCAACUGAGUUGAGGCUAGGAGAGGUAGGGAGAGCUGAGUUCUGACUUCACCUGUGCAGAACUCUCUGCCCCCAUGUUACCUGGACUGGAACAGACUGUGAAUAAAGCAGAAGGUUCCAAGAACUCUGGUGUCUGACCUAGAAGAGGCACAGUUCUCCCUACUGGAAAGAAAACGAUAUAGCCGAUUGCACAAGGGUGCCAAGGGAAGACCCAGGAUGGCCCAUCGAAGGAACCUGGGGGAGGAUGCAGGAGGCUGAAGGGAUGCACCUGGCAUUUCUCUCACUGUGCUCUUACCGCAUCAGCAACCCCCACCUUUUGGGCCUACUCUGCCCCCCAUGUGUGAAUACCCUGCUUGGAUGCUGUGCUUUUCCAGUUUGUCUCUAAGCCCCUUUCUCCAGGGCAUGUUAGUUUCCCUGGCCUCUCAGUGUCCUAACUGGAGCCCAGAGCACCUUGGUCUGAGCCAGGAGACGGCUGAGCACUGGCCCUCCACACCUAAGCGUCCUUUACAUUAACUUAUUGGUCUUAUAUAACACCUGGUGCCAUUGCCAAGUGGCUGUGUCCUCAGCUACAGAGCUGGAAUUGUGUGGGGUUUAGUGCUCAAUACUUCAAUAAAGUCUGUUUUUUGUGA
rnacentral:sRNA from 1 species